rnacentral:rRNA from 1 species
CCUACGGGAGGCAGCAGGGGGGAAUAGUGCACAAUGGGGGAAACCCGGAUGCAGCAACGCCGCGGGAAGGAAGACGGUUUUCGGAUUGUAAACUUCUGUUCGUAGGGAAGAAGAAUGACGGUAGCUAAGGAGCAAGCCACGGCGAACUACGUGCCAGCAGCCGCGGUAAUACGGAGGGGGCAAGCGUUGUCCGGAAUUACUGGGUGUAAAGGGAGCGCAGGCGGGAAGCCAAGGCAGCGGUGAAAACUACGGGCUUAACUUGUAGACUGCAGUUGAAACUGGUUUUCUUGAGUGAAGUAGAGGUUGGCGGAAUUCCGCGUGUAGCGGUGAAAUGCGUAGAUAUUCGGAGGAACACCGGUGGCGAAGGCGGCCCACUGGGCUUUAACUGACGCUGAGGCUCGAAAGUGUGGGGAGCAAACAGGAUUAGAUCCCCCAGUAGUC